GAGUAGUGGCGAGCGAAAGCGGAAGAGACUAAACCUGUGGUGUGUGAUAGCGGUUAGGCGUUGCAUCAUGGGGGUUGUGGGAGUCACAGUGGCAGUUCUAACUGGCUGCCGGCAUGAUGUUCAGGAUGGUAGGUGAACGACUUGGAAUGGUCGGCCGUAGAGGGUGAGAGUCCCGUAAUCGAAAUUGUUCUGUCCGUGGUGUGGCCACCCGAGUAGCACGGGG
rnacentral:rRNA from 1 species